CCUACGGGAGGCAGCAGUGAGGAAUAUUGGUCAAUGGACGAGAGUCUGAACCAGCAACGUAUCGUGAAGGAUGAAUGCCCUAUGGGUUGUAAACUUCUUUUAUAGGGAAAUAAAAUGGUCCACGUGAGUGUUUUUGUCUGUACCAUAUGUAUACGGAUCGGCUAACUCAGUGCCAGCAGCCGCGGUAAUACGGAGGGUCCGUGCGUUAGCCGGAUUGAUUGGGUUUAAAGGGAGCGUAGGUGGAUUGUUAAGUCAGUUGUGAAAGUUUGCGGCUCAACCGUAAAAUUGCAGUUGAAACUGGCAGUCUUGAGUACAGUAGAGGUGAGCGGAAUUCGUGGUGUAGCGGUGAAAUGCGUAGAUAUCACGAAGAACUCCGAUUGCGAAGGCAGCUCACUGGACUGCAACUGACACUGAGGCUCGAAAGCGUGGGUAUCAAACAGGAUUAGAUACCCGAGUAGUC
rnacentral:rRNA from 1 species